rnacentral:rRNA from 1 species
CGCCUGUUUAUCAAAAACAUCGCCUCUUGCAAAAUAUAAGUAUAAGAGGUCCCGCCUGCCCAGUGACAAUAAAGUUUAACGGCCGCGGUAUUUUGACCGUGCAAAGGUAGCGUAAUCACUUGUCUUUUAAAUGAAGACCCGUAUGAAUGGCAUAACGAGGGCUUAACUGUCUCCUUCCCUAAGUCAAUGAAAUUGAUCUCCCCGUGCAGAAGCGGGGAUAAAACCAUAAGACGAGAAGACCCUAUGGAGCUUUAGACGCAAGGACAGAUCAUGUCAAAUACACCUAGCUACAGGCCUGAACUAAAUGAAACCAGUCUUGAUGUCUUCGGUUGGGGCGACCAUGGGGAACACAAAACCCCCACGUGGAAAAGGAGUACACCCCUAUCUUUUUCUCCUCCUACAAACCAGAGCGACAGCUCUAAUCAGCAGAAAUUCUGACCAAACUGAUCCGGCAACGCCGAUCAACGAAUCAAGUUACCCUAGGGAUAACAGCGCAAUCCCCUUUUAGAGCCCAUAUCGACAAGGGGGUUUACGACCUCGAUGUUGGAUCAGGACAUCCUAAUGGUGCAGCCGCUAUUAAGGGUUCGUUUGUUCAACGAUUAAAGUCCUACGUGAUCUGAGUUCAGACCGG